rnacentral:misc_RNA from 1 species
CUUGUUUAGGUAAUGCAGCUCCUUGUUGAUGUUGGGUGUGGCCAUCAUUGUCAUCUGCAUGAGUUGACCCUGAUAAUAUCUUCCAUCAAGCUUCUUAAUACCGUAACCCAGUUGAAUGGUACCAAAUGAUUUUAUAUCAGUAAGAACUCCAUUUCUACCGUAAACAUGUUUUCCCACUCGAGCAACCAAAUCCAUCAAUGCUUCCUUUCUUACAUGAGGUUUCAACAGAAGCAUGCAAUCAUAAAGAGGCAUUUUUUUUU